rnacentral:rRNA from 1 species
AACACGUGGAUAAUCUACCCGACAGUCAGGGAUAACAUUUCGAAAGGAAUGCUAAUACCUGAUAAGCCUACGCCCUCUUCGGAGGAAGUAGGAAAAGGUGGGGACCUUCGGGCCUGCCGUUGUCGGAUGAGUCCGCGGCCCAUUAGCUAGUUGGUAGGGUAAUGGCCUACCAAGGCUACGAUGGGUAGCUGGUCUGAGAGGAUGAUCAGCCACACUGGAACUGAGACACGGUCCAG